rnacentral:rRNA from 1 species
GAUGAACGCUAGCGGCAGGCCUAACACAUGCAAGUCGAGGGGUAACGUGAGUGCUUGCACUUGACGACGACCGGCGCACGGGUGCGGAACGCGUAUGGAACCUACCUUUAUCAGGGAGAUAGCCCAUGGAAACGUGGAUUAAUAUCCCAUAGUAUUAUUUUAUCGCCUGAUAGAAUAAUUAAAGAAUUUCGGAUAGAGAUGGCCAUGCGUAUCAUUAGCUAGUAGGCGAGGUAACGGCUCACCUAGGCGACGAUGAUUAGGGGUCCUGAGAGGGAGAUCCCCCACACUGGUACUGAGACACGGACCAGACUCCUACGGGAGGCAGCAGUGAGGAAUAUUGGGCAAUGGAGGCAACUCUGACCCAGCCAUGCCGCGUGCAGGAAGACGGCCCUACGGGUUGUAAACUGCUUUUAUCAAGGAAGAAGAUCUGACGGUACUUGAUGAAUAAGCCACGGCUAAUUCCGUGCCAGCAGA